ensembl:snoRNA
GGUCAAUGAUGUCUUGGCAUGUAUUACCUGAAUCACUGCUGAUGUGUGCAAUCACUAGCUCUAGAAUUACGCUGAGACCUU